rnacentral:rRNA from 1 species
AUGCCUACGGGACGCAGCAGUAGGGAAUAUUGCUCAAUGGGGGAAACCCUGAAGCAGCAACGCCGCGUGGAGGAUGAAGGCUUUAGGAUUGUAAACUCCUUUUGUUAGAGAAGAUUAUGACGGUAUCUAACGAAUAAGCACCGGCUAACUCCGUGCCAGCAGCCGCGGUAAUACGGAGGGUGCAAGCGUUACUCGGAAUCACUGGGCGUAAAGAGUGCGAAGGCGGGGAAAUAAGUCAGAUGUGAAAUCCUGUAGC